UUGUACACAUUUGGUGAGAGGAAGGAAGUCAUGUUUGAGCUGAUUAACUUUCGUUCAAUUUUUUUUUUUAAAAAAUUGGGGCCUGUUUGGGAAAUUUUCAACACUCUCUCAUUCUUUCCCCCCUGUGAUUUUUUAUUUUUCUUGGACUUGGCCGAUCCCUUUUCCUAGCAACCUGUAGCCGGAUAACUUCCCCGACGAUCACAGGAGAGAGACAGAGAAGAAGAAUAAUGGCCAGUUUGGGUGUCUUCCUAUAUUUGCUGCUUUUGGGUGCGAUGAAUCAGCAAAAAUGGGUGCAAACAGGUUCACAUGGAGCCAUCUUGCUUGACCAAAUAAAAAAUAGAAAGAGACAAGAGUGGGGGGUGUUGUUACUGGCCCCACGUGGUACCGAUCAAAAUUCAAAUAAAAGAUGCUUACACACUCAAGUUCUUUGAAAACAAUUCAAGCCGCCUGCCAAAGUGUUGCAAUGAUGCAGACACUGUGAAGCUCCCUUUCUGCCAAAUUCGAGGGAAGUAUAGAAUGGAAUUACCUGGAUACAAUACAAUGGACCCAUACCCACAUAUGAAUGAAAGGUGCCCAUCUCUUCCCCCAAAAUACUCUAGGCCUAAGGGUUGUUAAAAGUCUUCUGAUUUGUUUAUUCUGUUUCAGAGUUUUUAUACCAUUGUUUUGUAUAAUACUAGGUUGUAUUUUUUAUUUUUCUGUAUACAACUUUUCUGAUGCAAAGACUUGAAAGAUUUCAAAAGUUUAGUUGAUGUAGGUUUGAUGUUGUUUGUAAAUUUGCUACCACAAUACAAAGGGAGUAAUAGUAAUUUCAUUGUUACUGCACA